UACGGAGGAUCCAAGCGUUAUCCGGAUUUAUUGGGUUUAAAGGGUGCGUAGGCGGCUUUGUAAGUCAGGGGUGAAAGACGGUAGCUCAACUAUCGCAGUGCCCUUGAUACUGAUGGGCUUGAAUACACUAGAGGUAGGCGGAAUGUGACAAGUAGCGGUGAAAUGCAUAGAUAUGUCACAGAACACCGAUUGCGAAGGCAGCUUACUAUGGUGUCAUUGACGCUGAGGCACGAAAGCGUGGGGAUCAAACAGG
rnacentral:rRNA from 1 species